CAAGAUCAGCUGAAACCUGACUGUACAUGUUUCGUGGGUGCUGUAAGACAAUGGGCAUUUUAAAAAUUACUUUUGAAGGAGAGAGAGAGCUUUAGCGAGUACACGUCCUAGAAAGCAAAUAUGGAUCUCAAGCCAUGCUACAGCAGAAAAAAUCCAAGUUGAAGCCUCGAUCCUCAUGAGGACAAAAUAAAAUUAGAGCACAGUGCCACCACAACAAUAUUAACAGAACUUCAUUACAAGAGUGAAUGUUAGUUGACACAUAAGCUUGUUAAUUGACUCAAAAUGUGUCUCUGAAUGUGAGCAUGUGAUGAGUUGAAUUUUUUCACAAGACUUCGUCGGUUGUGCAUCCAACAACCUUUGAAAUUUUGGUUGAAAUCCGGUUCCGGGUCUGAAUCUCCUACCUUUUUGUAGACCACAUUAAGGUUAUUUGGUUUUGCCAAAUUUGCAAUCUGCUCAUCUUCAAAAUUCAAUGGUAGCUUGUUGUUGAAUGAUGAUCCGAGUAUUCUCCAUCAGCAUUAGAUAUCUUACAUUGGUAAUCCAUUUUUGGUAUUUGGUUUAAUGUUACAUUAUUUACCUUUUCAUCUUCCUGCCCGUCACGCUAAACAUUGUUGACGGAGAAAAUACUGCGGACAACAUUUAGGUCUCGUACGACAGAAACAUUCACGUCUUCUUACUACCGUCAGAUUACCUACCUUGUCUUCCUGUGCGUAAUGGAGAAGAGUCACUGGUCUCAAAAAUAUUGAAACUGUUUUAAUAUCAUUUAUUCUUAUCUGUAACUUUUAUAGUCUGCACGCAUGACUGAUGCACUGGUUUCGAGGUUGUGGGCAAGUGAAAGAGGAUCGCAAAAAAAAUCGCCAUCUCUACUACAGGCAUUUUUGUAUACAUUUAUUUUGUUUUUUUUUGCCAUUGACCAGCCCCAAAGCAUGUUAUAUUAGUAAAUCUCAAAUGAUGGAGUGCCAACAAGAAUUAAAAUGCCUAAUACGCGGGUUUGAUGGCUAUUGCCAUGAAGACUGCCGAAGCUGGCCAUCUUACGGAAACCUAGAAAUGGCGUGACUUCCACAUCAAACAUGUAUUAGAAUUUUAGUGGAGGAGUUUUUUGUUAAACAUGCUCCGCCUACACAAAAAUGUUCUGUUCAGAGCCUCAUACUAUGGUUUUCAUUUCCAAUUUGUAUGUUCUUUCGCAAGCGUGUGCCAGAAGUUUUAUAUGGGUGCCAAACAGUGUACCUAUGAGUCAUGUAAGUCAUAUGAGCAAGAAUUUUUGUGCUUAACGGUUUUUUUUUCUGUUCUUAAAAUAGGUUAAUAGUAACACUGGAUCUGAAAAGGGUCUUGAAUGAGGCGAGACACUGAAUAAAUUGUGAUGACUAACGUAACGGAUGACAUGGAAUUUAUAUACUUUAUUCGGAUUCCCAUACGGUAUUUAAUAUUUAAAAAAUUCAAGUGCAUA